CCUACGGGAGGCUGCAGUAGGGAAUCUUCCACAAUGGACGAAAGUCUGAUGGAGCAACGCCGCGUGAGUGAAGAAGGGUUUCGGCUCGUAAAGCUCUGUUGGUAGUGAAGAAAGAUAGAGGUAGUAACUGGCCUUUAUUUGACGGUAAUUACUUAGAAAGUCACGGCUAACUACGUGCCAGCAGCCGCGGUAAUACGUAGGGGGCAAGCGUUGUCCGGAUUUAUUGGGCGUAAAGCGAGUGCAGGCGGUUCAAUAAGUCUGAUGUGAAGGCCCUCGGCUCAACCGGGGAAUUGCAUGUGAAACGGGUGAACUUGAGUGCAGAAGAGGAAGGAGGAACGCGAGGUGUAGAGGUGGAAUGCGUAGAUAUAAGGAAGAACACCAGUGGCGAAGGCGGUCUGCUGGUCAGCAACUGACGCUGAGGCUCGAAAGCAUGGGGAGCGAACAGGAUUAGAUACCCGAGUAGUC
rnacentral:rRNA from 1 species